rnacentral:rRNA from 1 species
UACGUAGGGUGCAAGCGUUAAUCGGAAUUACUGGGCGUAAAGCGUGCGCAGGCGGUUGUGUAAGACAGAUGUGAAAUCCCCGGGCUCAACCUGGGAACUGCAUUUGUGACUGCACGGCUGGAGUGCGGCAGAGGGGGAUGGAAUUCCAGGUGUAGCGGUGAAAUGCGUAGAUAUCUGGAGGAACACCGGUGGCGAAGGCGGCAUCCUGGACCAACACUGACGCUGAGUGAGCGAAAGCCAGGGGAGCAAACGGG